rnacentral:rRNA from 1 species
AUGCUUCAUUGGAUUUCCUGGGACGCUUUGGCAACUCCAAAAUUUCAGGGUGGAAUGGGAUUUCAUGCUCUGCAUUUGUUCAACCUUGCGUUGUUGGGGAAACAUGGCUGGAGGCUUAUGACUAAUCCCAACUCUUUAUGUGCAAGAGUUCUAAAAGCUAGGUAUUACCUAGACACGGAUUUUCUGCAUGCAACGAUACUUCGGUCUGCUCCUACAACAUGGAAAGCUAUUGUUGCCGGGCGGGAGGCUCUGAUGGUUGGGUUAAUUAAGCGAGUGGGAAAUGGAACUUCUAUAUCCAUUUGGACCGAUAGUUGGCUUCCAGGAACAGCUACUAUGAAGCCGCUAUGCAAACUAGCUAGAACUACACUUCAAUUUGUGAGUGAGCAGAUUAACACUUACAAUUGGACAUGCAGGUGA